rnacentral:rRNA from 1 species
AUACGUAGGGGGCGAGCGUUGUCCGGAAUGAUUGGGCGUAAAGGGCGCGUAGGCGGCCCGGUAAGUCUGGAGUGAAAGUCCUGUUUUUAAGAUGGGAAUUGCUUUGGAUACUGUCGGGCUUGAGUGCAGGAGAGGUAAGUGGAAUUCCCAGUGUAGCGGUGAAAUGCGUAGAGAUUGGGAGGAACACCAGUGGCGAAGGCGACUUACUGGGCUGUAACUGACGCUGAGGCGCGAAAGUGUGGGGAGCAAACAGGAUUAGAUACCCUGGUAGUCCACACUGUAAACGAUGAAUGCUAGGUGUAGGGGGUAUCGACCCCUUCUGUGCCGCAGUCAACACAAUAAGCAUUCCGCCUGGGGAGUACGGCCGCAAGGUUGAAACUCAAAUGAAUUGACUGGG